UGCAUCGGCCGGGAAUCGAACCCGGGGCCGCCCGCGUGGCAGGCGAGCAUUUUACCACUGAACCACCGAUGG
rnacentral:tRNA from 1 species